rnacentral:tRNA from 2 species
GCCGACGUAGCUCAGUGGCAGAGCAGCGGUUUCGUAAACCGCGGGUCGUCAGUUCAACUCUGACCGUCGGCU